rnacentral:sRNA from 1 species
GAACUGUCUGAGCCUGACCUUGUAGAAUGGAGGCAAAAAAACUGAUUUAAUGAGCCUGAUCCAAUAAAGCCAGAAAGGAGUCCUCAGAGCACCAGAAGUCUUCAGGCCCUUUUAGCACUUUUCUUUGACCAGGCAGAGGAAGCGGCUGCUGAGAUUACUAGGAAGCUGGAGAAACAGGAGAAGAAACGCUUAAAGAAGGAAAAGAAACGGCUGGCUGCACUUGCCCUCGCGUCUUCAGAAAACAGCAGUAGUACUCCAGAGGAGUGUGAGGAGACGAGUGAAAAACCCAAAAAGAAGAAAAAGCAAAAGCCCCAGGAGGUUCCUCAGGAGAAUGGAAUGGAAGACCCACCUAUCUCUUUCUCCAAACCCAAGAAAAAGAAAUCUUUCUCCAAGGAGGAGUUGAUGAGUAGCGAUCUUGAAGAGACCGCUGGCAGCACCAGUAUUCCCAAGAGGAAGAGGUCUACACCCGAGGAGGAAACAGUUAAUGACCCUGAAGAGGCAGGCCACAGAAGUGGCUCCAAGAAAAAGAGGAAAUUCUCCAAAGAGGAGCCGGUCAGUAGUGGGCCUGAAGAGGCGGCUGGCAAGAGCACCUCCAAGAAGAAGAAAAAGUUCCAUAAAGCAUCCCAGGAAGAUUAGAAUGCAAAUGGACAUUCUCUGGGAGGUGGGGCAUACCAUAGCCCAAGGUGACAUUUCCCACCCUGUGCCGUGUUCCCCAAUAAAAAUAAAUUCACAAGA